rnacentral:rRNA from 1 species
UUAACACAUGCAAGUCGAGGGGCAUCAGGAAGAAAGCUUGCUUUCUUUGCUGGCGACCGGCGCACGGGUGAGUAACACGUAUCCAACCUGCCCUUUACUCGGGGAUAGCCUUUCGAAAGAAAGAUUAAUACCCGAUAGCAUAAUGAUUCCGCAUGGUUUCAUUAUUAAAGGAUUCCGGUAAAGGAUGGGGAUGCGUUCCAUUAGGUUGUUGGUGAGGUAACGGCCCACCAAGCCUUCGAUGGAUAGGGGUUCUGAGAGGAAGGUCCCCCACAUUGGAACUGAGACACGGUCCAAACUCCUACGGGAGGCAGCAGUGAGGAAUAUUGGUCAAUGGGCGCUAGCCUGAACCAGCCAAGUAGCGUGAAGGAUGAAGGCUCUAUGGGUCGUAAACUUCUUUUAUAUAAGAAUAAAGUGCAGUAUGUAUACUGUUUUGUAUGUAUUAUAUGAAUAAGGAUCGGCUAACUCCGUGCCAGCAGCCGCGGUAAUACGGAGGAUCCGAGCGUUAUCCGGAUUUAUUGGGUUUAAAGGGAGCGUAGGUGGACUGGUAAGUCAGUUGUGAAAGUUUGCGGCUCAACCGUAAAAUUGCAGUUGAUACUGUCAGUCUUGAGUACAGUAGAGGUGGGCGGAAUUCGUGGUGUAGCGGUGAAAUGCUUAGAUAUCACGAAGAACUCCGAUUGCGAAGGCAGCUCACUGGACUGCAACUGACACUGAUGCUCGAAAGUGUGGGUAUCAAACAGGAUUAGAUACCCUGGUAGUCCACACAGUAAACGAUGAAUACUCGCUGUUUGCGAUAUACAGUAAGCGGCCAAGCGAAAGCAUUAAGUAUUCCACCUGGGGAGUACGCCGGCAACGGUGAAACUCAAAGGAAUUGACGGGGGCCCGCACAAGCGGAGGAACAUGUGGUUUAAUUCGAUGAUACGCGAGGAACCUUACCCGGGCUUAAAUUGCAGUGGAAUGAUGUGGAAACAUGUCAGUGAGCAAUCACCGCUGUGAAGGUGCUGCAUGGUUGUCGUCAGCUCGUGCCGUGAGGUGUCGGCUUAAGUGCCAUAACGAGCGCAACCCUUAUCUUUAGUUACUAACAGGUUAUGCUGAGGACUCUAGAGAGACUGCCGUCGUAAGAUGUGAGGAAGGUGGGGAUGACGUCAAAUCAGCACGGCCCUUACGUCCGGGGCUACACACGUGUUACAAUGGGGGGUACAGAAGGCAGCUAGCGGGUGACCGUAUGCUAAUCCCAAAAUCCUCUCUCAGUUCGGAUCGAAGUCUGCAACCCGACUUCGUGAAGCUGGAUUCGCUAGUAAUCGCGCAUCAGCCACGGCGCGGUGAAUACGUUCCCGGGCCUUGUACACACCGCCCGUCAAGCCAUGGGAGCCGGGGGUACCUGAAGUACGUAACCGCAAGGAUCGUCCUAGGGUAAAACUGGUGACUGGGGCU